GUAGGUGGCAAGCGUUGUCCGGAAUUAUUGGGCGUAAAGCGCGCGCAGGUGGUUCUUUAAGUCUGAUGUGAAAGCCCACGGCUCAACCGUGGAGGGUCAUUGGAAACUGGAGAACUUGAGUACAGAAGAGGAAAGCGGAAUUCCACGUGUAGCGGUGAAAUGCGUAGAGAUGUGGAGGAACACCAGUGGCGAAGGCGGCUUUCUGGUCUGUAACUGGCGCUGAGGCGCGAAAGCGUGGGGAGCAAACAGGGAUUAGAUACCCUGGUAGUCCACGCCGUAAACGAUGAGUGCUAAGUGUUAGGGGGUUUCCGCCCCCUUAGUGCUGCAGCUAACGCAUUAAGCACUCCGCCUGGGGAUACGGCCGCAAGGCUG
rnacentral:rRNA from 1 species